rnacentral:rRNA from 1 species
AACGCUGCGGCGUCCUAACACAUGCAAGCCGCACGUCCUUGGUUUUCGGACCGAGGGAGUGGCGGACGGGUGAGUAACACGUGGGCAACCUACCUUGGAGUGAGGGAUACCGGCGAGAAAUCGCCGACAAUUCCGCAUAGGCUUGUGCAAGCAAGCAAAGCCGUAAGGCGCUCAAAGAUGGGCCCGCGUCCGAUUAGCUCGUUGGUGGGGUAAUGGCCUACCAAGGCGACGAUCGGUAGCUGGUCUGAGAGGAUGAUCAGCCACACUGGGAUUGAGAACGGCCCAGACUCCUACGGGAGGCAGCAGUGAGGAAUUUUCGGCAAUGGGCUGCAAGCCUGACCGAGCAACGCCGCGUGCAGGAGGAAGGUCUUCGGAUCGUAAACUGCUUUUACUGGGGAAGAGAACGGACGG